rnacentral:rRNA from 1 species
AUGGAAUGGAUGGAUGGUGUAGGAAAUGAUAUAUCCACUCCAAAUCCAAGAUAUUGUCACUGCACCAUCAGGAACAGCAUACACUCCACUAUGGCCGCCACACCGGAGGAGUUGUUGGGCCUCGCCGAGCCUGCACCACUGUCCCCCUCCGUCUUCCUCGACCUUCCUCCGACGACCCAUGGUGACUCACAGAAUGACCUGGCCCUGGAAUACAUUUCGCGCAUGCUUACGGAGGAGGACAUCGUCGACAAGUUCUUUUACCAGUACCCUGACCACCCGAAGCUCCUGCAGGCGGAGCAGCCCUUUGCCGAGAUCCUCGCCGACACCUCAUCAUCCGCCGCCCAGGAGUCCUUUGCCUCCUCCACCUCCAUCUUGAUGCCCAGCCAAGGAAACAACACAGACGUCAUGGUCUCCGGGUGCCAGGUACAGGAUCCAGUCUUCUUGAACGGCACAGGCACAGUGGAGCCCAAUGGUAUGGUGUUUCCCAGCGAGAGCAGCACCAGCAUGAACAUGCUGUCGAGCAUGGAAUUCUUCAAAGGAAUGGAGGAGGCCAACAUGUUCUUGCCCACAUACGAUGUGAUGGUGGAUGGUAGGGGGCGUAAGAAGAGGUCUGUCAUGGAUGGUGAGGCGGAGGCGGGCUUGGGCAGGAGCAGCAAGCAAAUAGUGGUGCUGCUGCAUAGUACUACUACCUUGGAGGAGGAGGAAGCCACCGCGCUGGAGAUGUUGGACCGGCUCAUCCUCAACGGCUACGAAGCGUGCCCGAGCGAGAUGCAGGAGGUAGUACGUGUCACCUGGGAAGACAAGGAGGACAAGGCAGCACGGCAGAGCAUCUCCAGGCGUGGGAGGCGCGGGGCGAGGCAUACGGUGGUGACUGACCUAGAGACUCUGCUGACCCGCUGUGCAGAAGCAGUGGUCAGUAACGAUGUGCGCGGCGCGAGCAAGCUACUGGAGCGGAUCAAGUGUCACUCGUCGCCGACGGGGGAUGCUAGGCAGCGGCUGGCGCACUACUUCACCCAGGGGCUGGAGGCACGGCUGGCUGGCACGGGGAGCCGACUGUACCGAUCGCUCAUGGGGAAGCGCACCUCAGUCUUGGAGCUCAUCAGGGCCUUCCAUCUGCACGAGGCCGCGAGCUGUUCGAUCAAGGUGGGGUUGCUCUUUUCCACCAACACCAUCUACAAGGCCGUUGCAGGGAGGAGGAAACUGCACAUUGUGCACUACGGCAUGAGCACCGGGUUUCAGUGGCCGGACUUGCUCCGCUUGCUGGCGAAUAGGGAGGGUGGGCCACCGGAAGUGAGGAUCACCGGCAUCAACACCCCUCUGCCCGGGCCCUGUCCGGAUGCACUGAUGCAGGAGGCAGGGCACCGGCUCAACAAUUGCGCGAGCCAGUUCGGCGUGCCAUUCAAGUUCCGCGCCAUCGCAUCCAAGCCGGAGGAUGUCCGGGCUGAGGAGCUGCACAUCGAUCCAGAUGAGGUCCUGGUCGUGAGCAGCCUAUACGAGUUCAGGACCUUGAUGGACGAGAGCCUCACCUUUGACAUGGUAAGCCCAAGGGACAUGGUACUCAACACUAUCAGGAAGAUGAGGCCGUCUGUGUUCAUCAGUUCCGUCGUCAAUGGACCAUACAGCGCGGCGUUCUUUAUGACGCGGUUCCGCCAUGCGCUCUACUAUUUCACGGCGUUGUUCGAUGUUAUGGAGACCACCGUUCCACGGGAUGGCGGCGAGAGACUUCUGGUGGAGCGGGACAUACUUGCACGGUCCGCCAUAAACAUGAUCGCCUGUGAAGGCACAGACCGGGUGGAGCGCCCUCAGAACUACAAGGAGUGGCAGGCGCGGAACCAGCGAGCGGGGCUAAGGCAGCUGCCAUUGGACCCUGAUAUCGUUCUGAGGCUCAGGGACGAAGUGAAGAAUAGGUACCACAAGCAUUUCAUGAUCAGUGAGGAUCACCGAUGGCUUCUGCAAGGAUGGAAAGGUCGGGUGCUCUAUGCCCACUCCACAUGGGCAGCUGGUGAUGCUACUGGUUCUCUAGUGUGA